AGUGAAAGAUGGAGGUAGGCCUAACACAUGCAAGUCGAACGGAAGCACAGUAAGAGUGUGCCUCUAAGGGUGGCGAGUGGCGGACGGGUGAGGAAUGCAUCGGCAUCCUAUAAUACGGGGGGGACAACGGAAGGCCACUUACGAUAACAGAGCAUAUGAUCUACGGGAGAAAGCAGGGGAUAAUCGGAGCUUGGCUGACAGAAUGAGCUGGAGUCGCAUUAGAUAGUUGGCGGGGUAAAGGACCACCAAGGCGACGAUACGUAGCUGGUCUGAGAGGAUGAUCAGCCACACUGGAACUGAGACACGGUCCAGACUCCUACGGGAGGCAGCAGUGGGGAAUAUUGGGCAAAGGGCGCAAGCCUGACCCAGCCAUACCGCGUGAGUGAAGAAGGCCUUCGGGUUGUAAAGCCCUGUUAUUGGGGAAGAAAAGCAGCAGGUGUAUACCCCGCUGUUCUGACGGUACCCAAAGAAUAAGCACCGGCUAACUUCGUG
rnacentral:rRNA from 1 species